CUGUCGGUCCGCUGUUCGACCGGGUUCUGUCGCUGGUCCGUACCGAGGGGUAGAGCACCAGGGGAAAGUGAUUUAUGACUUCGGAGAGCCCAGGUAUAGCCGGCUCUCUCAUUCACAGCAACUGGUGUAUCCGAUCCCCGAAUACCGGGGUGCGACUUCUCGCGUUCGUCUACCAGUUGGCGCAUUUACGCCUCUCGCUGCAGACCGCAGACGCACUUUUUGAUCGCCUACCGGAUCGCCGAGGACAACGAUUUGGUGCCGAACAACCUUUCGCGGAAUGGAGCAUACAGUGGAUUGCCCUCCUUGCCAAUAUCGCAGUCAGAAAUUUCGCGACGCGUCAAAGUUACGGUCGAGGACCAGGAAGGAAGCGAGCAUAAUGAAGAAACGCGGUAAAGGAGGAAGACACGGAAGAGGAAAAGGGACCGGGCACCACUAGCCACCCCCGAGGAUCAUCAAUCACCGGGACCGAGACAAUCCGAGACAAUCGAUGUGCGCGCCCGACCAACGAACAGCUGUCGCCUCGCCGGUUCGACCGAUUCCACGUCGUCCACGUUUCGGGAGUUCUUGGUGGAUAAUUCAUCGAAAUUUCCGGGAGCGAGAUGUAUUUUUAUUUUUUUUUGAAGAC